UCUUGUAAUUAAUGCAAAAUACAUAAAUUUAAGUAAUUAAUGACAGGCGGAUGGUCAUCAAAAUCGAAAACAAAAAGCAAAAAUUUCGUAAAGAAAAUAGCAAAAAUGGGAAUGCAAAAAAAAAAAAAAAAAAAAGCUACGCAGUUUGUUUAAGCAAUGAAAAGUUCUGAGACGCAAUACAACGGCCUGAAAAUACCACUGAGCGACUAGGUUUUUGCCACAUGGAUUCCGUACGCUAAUUAUUACUUUACUAUAACAACGCUUCCAAGCUGUGGAAAUUUACCUCCGCGAAGUUCAUAGAGUGAAGUGUUGAAGAAGAUGCUGAGAUGGCGACUCGUCAUCGUUCUCAACUUAUUGGCCUUUAUCCUUCGACUACGUGGAAAAUUCUACUUAAGGGCACUGACUUACUUUGCUAUAAAAAAGAACUUGUGCAAGAAUUGAGAGCCAAAUGGCCACGUUUGAGUCACAUUUUUGCUUAUUGGCCUCAUUUGAAUUUAUUAUUCAAAUUUAUUGGAAAAGGUAGUCAUAAAUUUGGCUGAUCGAAAAGAUCAUGUAACUCGUAGCUAAAGCGGAUAUAUCCCGGAUCUUUUAUUCAAAAAAUAAAUGCCAAGAAAUUAUCUAGCAGAUUAUAAUAAAAAAUUAUUCCAACAACA